GUUAUGGGCGCAGCCUGAUCAGCCAUGCCGCGUGAGUGAUGAAGGCCCUAGGGUUGUAAAGCUCUUUCAGCGAGGAGGAUAAUGACGUUACUCGCAGAAGAAGCCCCGGCUAACUUCGUGCCAGCAGCCGCGGUAAUACGAAGGGGGCUAGCGUUGUUCGGAAUCACUGGGCGUAAAGCGCACGUAGGCGGACUGAUCAGUCAGGGGUGAAAUCCCGGGGCUCAACCCCGGAACUGCCUUUGAUACUGUCAGUCUUGAGUCCGAGAGAGGUGAGUGGAACUCCGAGUGUAGAGGUGAAAUUCGUAGAUAUUCGGAAGAACACCAGUGGCGAAGGCGGCUCACUGGCUCGGUACUGACGCUGAGGUGCGAAAGCGUGGGGAGCAAACAGGAUUAGAUACCCCGGUAGUCCAA
rnacentral:rRNA from 1 species